UUCUGUAGGAUCGGCAUGAAUAAGGCGUCGUAUGUCGCUUUUCGCGAAACAUCGCCCCGCCAUUGUCUACUUCUCGUCCUGGGAGAGGCUUGGGAGUCAAAGGAAAUGUGAUGCAAACCCAAAAUGCGGGGAAAUUGGUGGCUAGCGUGCAGCAACUGUUUCCUCGGACUUCGCCCCCCUCCCUCAAUGUAGAAGGACUUUCGAACGUACAUCAACAGUGGAGACUUCCUUCAAAGUGCAGCACAUCUUAUGAGGAGGAUGGCAGGAAAUUAAACAAAGCAGGCAACUGUCAGAAGCUCUUCUGCUGAAGUACUGCUAAAGGCUCUGUACUUUAGGAAACGGUUCAUUACAAGGACUCCAAACCCACACCAAGAAGUCCAACAUGCUGGCACUGAGGGAGAAGCUUACACUGAGGCCAUGACAGCAGUGGUCUCAGAUGUAUAUUGGAAUAGGGAGUUCUCUUUAUUACACACACAAGCAGUUCCAUAGCAUACAAUCUGGUGCAACAUACAUGUAGGUGUUCAAAUAACAUUGACUAUCAUAAUUCCACCAGAUGCCAUAAUACCGCCACCUCAAAAAAACGUUAGUAUACAGGUAUU